rnacentral:rRNA from 1 species
AUUGAACGCUGGCGGCAGGCCUAACACAUGCAAGUCGAACGGUAACAGGAAGCAGCUUGCUGCUUCGCUGACGAGUGGCGGACGGGUGAGUAAUGUCUGGGAAACUGCCUGAUGGAGGGGGAUAACUACUGGAAACGGUAGCUAAUACCGCAUAACGUCGCAAGACCAAAGAGGGGGACCUUAGGGCCUCUUGCCAUCGGAUGUGCCCAGAUGGGAUUAGCUAGUAGGUGGGGUAACGGCUCACCUAGGCGACGAUCCCUAGCUGGUCUGAGAGGAUGACCAGCCACACUGGAACUGAGACACAGUCCAGACUCCUACGGGAGGCAGCAGUGGGGAAUAUUGCACAAUGGGCGCAAGCCUGAUGCAGCCAUGCCGCGUGUAUGAAGAAGGCCUUCGGGUUGUAAAGUACUUUCAGCGGGGAGGAAGGGAGUAAAGUUAAUACCUUUGCUCAUUGACGUUACCCGCAGAAGAAGCACCGGCUAACUCCGUG